GGAUAGCUCAAUCAGUCGAGCAGGAGACUCUUAAUCUCAAGGUUGUGGGUUCGAGCCCUGUGUUGAACA